GAUGAACGCUGGCGGCGUGCUUAACACAUGCAAGUCGAACGGAGUGCUCAUGACGGAGGAUUCGUCCAACGGAUUGAGUUACUUAGUGGCGGACGGGUGAGUAACGCGUGAGGAACCUGCCUUGGAGUGGGGAAUAACAGCCCGAAAGGGUUGCUAAUACCGCAUGAUGCAGUUGGGUCGCAUGACCCUGACUGCCAAAGAUUUAUCGCUCUGAGAUGGCCUCGCGUCUGAUUAGCUAGUAGGCGGGGUAACGGCCCACCUAGGCGACGAUCAGUAGCCGGACUGAGAGGUUGACCGGCCACAUUGGGACUGAGACACGGCCCAG
rnacentral:rRNA from 1 species